GCGCCCGUAGCUCAGUUGGAUUAGAGUGCUUGGCUACGAACCAAGAGGUCGGGAGUUCGAGUCUCUCCGGGCGCGCCA
rnacentral:tRNA from 1 species